UGUCAAAUUAGGAGAGGUACACAUCUUGUGAAAUAAUUAACCGUUUUUUAAAUGAAAUCAAGACCUACAACCUUCUCGAUUAAUCACAAACACUUGUUUCCAGACACAGUAAUUAAAAGAAAAAAUAUGUACCAGCUGAUAUAGCUAACCCCCCUACUCACUUAUCAUCCACUAGCCACAGACAUAGACAUUUUACUAUUUUGGAAAUAUCUUAAUCAGAACUACAAAUAGCCCAUCCUCAUAUUUUUUUCUUGGAUUCACAUAUAGACACACUUCAAAAAGUCAUCAAUAAGGAGGGGGAUAGGACCUUUAUCAGGACGCAAUCAUGUAGGAUUUUAGCAUGUUUUUUUAAGCUGCAUCCACGAAUUAGAGAGAAUUGACCUUUUGACACCUCUUGGGAAUAAUUUCUUUUAUCGAAAUUUUGGGAUGUUCGCAGAUGAUUUAAAAUUUAAAUUAAAUUCACGAUACGAGCAAGUUUUAUCGUGUAUUUAAAAGAGACACGAGGAAUCUUCCAGGACUCUGGACCCCUCCACCAGCUUCAAUCUUAAACUCCUCUUAUUGCUUCUUGAUUUUUUAACAUCUUUUCAGUUUUGGCUUCAAAGAAUUAAUGAACGCGACAACAUUCAUGAUGGAGGACUAUUCCACUAAUAUUACACGAUAAUGAUAUAACUAGAUGUAUGUAAAAUUGCUAGUAACAGAUAAUACAACUACAUCAUUGAUUUAUAAAUACUGUGCACACAGGAAAGUAUCCACGUUUUAUUUCUGGUGAAUGAUCAAGAAUGUAACAUUCAAAGCGCUGCCGAAGAAGGGGAAGGUGGCAUCGGCAGCUACAUCACAAAGGAGUUAUCAAUGUACUUGACAAACUAGAGUAUGGAAUCUCUUUUCAUUUUCCAGAAAGAAAUCAGUGGGAUACAUCAUGUACAGUGGGACCAGUGCUGUGCGUGCCAAUGUCGCAAUUUGUGUUUUUUUUUUUUUAUUUCUGGCGCCAAAAUAUGGCUGCUGCGAUAUAUUGGUACCAACAUUUCCAAUGUGAAAUUUUUCAUUCUUGACAUAUGAUCUUUAUUUUUAAUUGGUAAAGAGUUAAUUAGAUAAAUUGUACAAAAAUUUUAACCUGGCAACUAGUUUAUUGACUUGUUACGACCCACCAAGCUAAUCAAUCAGUUACAUACAGAUGUCAUAAUCUGUUGUUUGCAGGUAUCCAUUUAUGAUGGGCAUUAUUGAUCAUCAACAUUAAUUAAUUCAAAUAGAAUUGGUCCAGUCGGCAAUUUUUGUCUAUUUCAUUUGAAUGAAAUUUCAAUAACGACAACAAAUUUGCAAUGUUAACCAGUUGUUUGUAUGAAGAAAGCGUAACUGACAGGAAGUUGCAAGAACAAAGGUCCUGGUUCGAUUCCCAGUUCCGUGAUGAAAAUUUCAGGCACUGAAUUUUCGGCUCUCCCAUUUACACCAUUUGCUAAGUAUGGUCUUUAAGAAAGGAAUGAUAGUCUGUCGAAAGGGGAACAAUAAAUGACCUGACCCUUUAGAGAGAGCCAACAUUCUCUUACACGUUAAAGACACUCUUGUAAGAUUUAAAAAAAAGAGAGGCUAAAUGCCACUAUAAAGGCAGCACUCGACCUGCAAAAGUAAAGGGAUUAAUAUAAAGUGCAGAACUUGGUUUUCCCAUCCACUAUAUAAUAUGUUUAAAACUAAGACAGGAAGUCGAAAACCAUAAUUUAACUUGUUUAAAACGUCACUGUUCCUUUGUUUUCCCGUAAAAAAUAUGCAAAUUCAAGCAAAAUUUGUCUUGCUGGCCUCAGUCGGAUUCGAAAAUAACAAAACUGGCCUCCAUUUUGUUGAGCACUUACUUCUUCUACGUACUGUGUAUAAUUCUCCAAAGGAUGAGCACUCCCGAAUAAAGAAAGAUAACUCAAUUUUACUUUUUCAUUUCAUUGAGAUACCUACUUUAGACAUGUCUACAUAAUUCUGGCUUUAGAAUUUUAAAUGUUAUGUCUUAUGAGUUAUGAAAAGAUUUAAAGAGGGUCUUAGUAGCAGUAUGCGUACAAUGUAGGAUGCCUUUUGUCAUCUUUUUCUGUAUUCUUUAUUUUUAAUACAAAUUUUCACUAUUCUAUAAAUUUAAACCCCUUUUUAUUUUCUUCAGCCCCUGAAAUCUGCACAUUUUUGAUUGGCGUUCCUGUCAAUUUAAUACUUCCAUGAUUUACCAUACUAUCCCUAUAGCUAUACAAUGAGUCUUUGACUAUGUAUAUUAAGACAUAUAUAAUAGGGAAAGUAGAUAUUGUGCUAUGUGUAGAAAACAAGUCCUGAUUAUCCAAUAUGAGAAUAAAAGUCAAAUAAGUGAUUUUUUUGACAGCUCAGUUUUCUUUUAUAGUGUACAACUUUAAAAUAUUUUUACAGAAUUGUUAUUUUAAUUUUCAGAAAUGGCAGUUUGAAUUAAGUUUUACUGAUAAUUCCCAUACAGGAUGUAUAAAAACUAUUGCUGUAUCAACCAAAGGUAUUCUGGCAUCAGGAGGCACAGACGAGAACAUCAAGUUAUUUAACUUAAAGAAAAGAUCCGAUUUAGGUUCUCUUGUUCAUCAUUCAGGUAUGUAUGGUUUCAAUUUCCCCUUCUGGUUUUUAUAUUUAAUUAGUUAUUGUUAUUUUUGAAACAGACACAAAUGUAAUUAAAUAAGUCUCUCUUAAUAAUAUCCUGCAUCAAAGACAGCUGCCAUAUUUCUCAUUCCAUUCAGCUUCAGUAUAAACACAAUCCCAUCUUCAAAAAGUCAAAAGUAUGAAUAGAAAAUUCUAAUAUGACGUGCUUCUUUCGCUUUGUGGAACAAACCCAUGCUCUAAAUACAAAAUUUGUUUGCACAUGUGUAUAUUGAUUCUUUCAGAAUACGUGAAAUUUGAUCAAAUUAUCAUGCACUUAAUGAUAUUUUAUCCUUUAACUUUAGGAACACUUUCCAACUCUUAAAUGGUGCACAUGAUGUUUCACUAAUUCAUUUAUUAUGACUGUAAUGUGUUUGGCAUUCUGAAAUUGAACAUAUUUGACCUAGAUACAGACAAUUGUUCAUGCUGGCUGUUCAAAACUCCCUCCCUCUAACAAUCACAGUGCGCAGUGGUUUGCUUCUUACAAAACAAAAGGGAGGUUCAUGGAAGAGCCCACAAACAAACGUUUUAACACUUAUACUUAUUCGUCAUAGAAAUUAACUUUAUUGUCCUAUUCAGAAUCGAAAUAGUUGAUGCAAGCUAUAAAUCUUUAUUGUAGUUUUAAACAUGGGUAGGCAUUAUAUUUGUGUUAUUUUAGCCCUCACUAGUCGCUGGGUGGCAAAAAUAAUCACGAAUAUAAUGCCUAAUCCAUGUUAAAACUACAAUUAAAGUUUAGCUUGUAUCAAUUAUUUCUUAAAUAUGUGAAUCAAAUUUUUACAAGUAUCAAUGUAUCCAAUAAAAAGUUAUGAAUAUCUUAUUCCAACUAUGGUGCUUUAAAAAUGUGAACAUCAGAAUAGUGCAUGUGAUGUAGAAAAGGACACUUUUUGUGCUCUUCAAUUCAGCAAAAUGUUGCAACCCACAAAAUGGCAUCAAACACAGAAUUGAAAUGUUUAUUAAAUGUAUUUACAACUGUCAUAUGAGAUACUUGUAUACAAAAAAGAAACACUAACACUAUUUUUAACAAACCAUAGUUUGCAUUUAAUUCAAAUUUAAUUUUUAAGUUUCUUUGUCAUUUUAGUUUUUUUAAGUUGAUUUCUCAAGUUCAUGGUCAUAAAAUUUUAUUACAGGACAAAAUAAAGGUCUCAGAUUUAAAAUCUUACUUGAAAUUAAAAAAAAAACCCAAUUUUUUACAGAUUUUUUUUGUGAGUUGUCAUAGCGUGUAAGGUUUUGGGAAAUUGCAAAAAAAUGUUCGGUUAUGUCUACCUGUAUUUUACAAUAUUGAACGUGGAAAUGAUUUCCUCAUAUAUGUGAAAUAACUUAAUAUCUGGUAUUAAUUUAUGUACUGCGAUCUCAUUCUAGGAUCAGUCCUUGGAGUAGAAUUCUAUAAAGGUAACCAUAUGUUUACUGUAAGUGAAGAUGGUUCUGUGGCAAUCUGGAAACAUUAUACCUGGGAAUGUCUCAAAACACUCCGAGGACACAAGUAAGUCCAGAAUUUCUCAAAAAACAAAAACAAAAGACACAGAAAAAUAAGAUAAGGUUAAAGGUUGAAAAAAGACUCCAACUUAUCAUGUCUCACAUGGAUAUUAUUACAGAAAGCAGUUUUCAAGUUCAAAGGUGAUCUGUCACAAUUUUUCACAAACAAAAAUCACUGGUUCAUUAUAUUUGGUACACAGUUUCAUGUAGGUAAGCUGUAAACCAUUAACAAAAUUUAUAGACAUAGUCCCAUUUCUAAUGGAUCUUAUGCUUGCUGAGGGCAUCUAUGAUUUUGAUUACAUGUGUGUAUACAUAAUAGUCUUGUCAAAUAAAGUAUUGCCAGCAUUAAAGUUGGUGUAAUGUUUUCAUCUACUAGUACAGUAUUUUACUGUCGCACAAAUGGGAGAAUUUUCCUAUAGCUUCAUUAAGUUUAACACUUGUUGAAAGUUACAGUAAAAUUUCAGGAAUUUGAGAUUCAUUAUUCAUUUGUUCAUUCAGUAAGUAUGCUUAUUGUUUUCUGUUUUUGUCAGUGAACUCUGAAAUACUUUAUAUUAGAUAACCUUUGAAUUUCCAUUAUUUCAGAUCAGGAGUUAAUAGCAUAUCUGUACAUCCUAGUGGUAAAUUAGCCCUAACAGUAUCCAAAGACAAGACAUUGAAGACAUGGAACCUUAUUACUGGCAAAUGUGCUUACACAACUAAUCUCAAAUCAGGUAAUUUAUAUACACAUGUAAGGAAAACAUGUAGUGCUAAUACUGGUUAGUUACUAUUUCCAAUUUAAACCGAUACACUCAGAAAAUUAGAAUUUAGAAAUGUAUUUACAAGUUAAAUAUGUUCAGAUGGUAUUCAUUGUACUGUACAGAUAGUAGAGCUACUUUACUAUAGAUAACCCUCAUUUUGAAAGAGUAAUUUUCCUGGCCCCAUUUGUUUCCAGUCUAUAAUACAUGUAAACGUAAUACAGUCAACUAUCGUUAUCUCGAAGUUUGUCCGACCUGAGAAUAAUUUCGAGAUAUUCGUAGUUCAACUCUAACUAAAACCAGAAGUUUGAAAGUCCAAGGGACACAACUCUUGCUUAGCUUGGUAAUGCUAAAAUAAAUUUGGAUGAAUAUGGGAAGGGGAUCAAUAUUCUGAUCUCAGAUCGAUGUAUUUGUAUGUUUUGGUCCUUUUAUUAUUAUAAUAACAUUGUUUUCACUUAUUCAAUUUUUCCCUGUGGCUUUUAUCCAAGAGUGUAAUUUCCAAUCAAUCUUAGUGCUAUUUAAGUCAUUUAAAAUUAACAAAAUUGUUUAUUCUGGGAAACAAGAGGUCAUGUGUGGACAUAGGUGUAUUAGUUCUAGAUAAAUAAUGAAUUUUAAGUGCUUUUGUCAACAUUGGGACUGUAUAUUCAGUUUGACUCAAAAGUAAUUUUGACUCAUUUCAGGAGUCGAAAUACAUAUAUUAUAUGGAAUAAAGUUCGGGACAAUGAGAAAACUUCAACUCACCUGAAAUUUUGUGUCAACAAAAGUUAACUGUACUAGUUAAACAUUUGCAGCCCCAUGUGAUAUUUUUAAUUGUAUAGUUAUGUAGGACCCAUUAUAAAGGUUGUUUGCUUAUCAUCCAGUGGCAAGUAUUUGAUGCAUGUCCAGAUGGAAGCCGAUUGAACAGAAUGUUUAUCACUGGUAUAUAUAUGCGAAUGUGAUCUUAUUUGAACACUAAAAUUAGAAAUAAAUAAUAGUAGGAUCUUUAAAGUCAAUACAUGAAAGAAUAAAAUUGACAAUAUUUAGAUUGAUAUUCCUGAAUUUUAUGUAAGAAUUUGUAUUAAAGUGUUAAUCAUGCUGAAAUAGUAUUGAAUGUUAAAAACUAUGUUUUAAAUUUCUUGUUUUUACUUUUGAUUAUUGACAGUUGCUGACUUGGUAUUGUGGUCUACAGAUGGAACAUAUUAUGCAGUUGUAUUUCAAACAAAGAUAGAUAUUUAUAAAGUAGAGGUGUGUAUGUAAAAAUGGAUUCAGAAUUAUUUAUAAGAUACUUAGGUUCAUAGAUUUCUGAACAAACCUCCCUCAAUAAGCAGACAACUAACAAGAAUAAUUAAUGCUCCCACACACAAUUGCUUCAAGUAUUAUGGAUAAAGGGUUACUAUGAUGUAAGAAAGAUAAUAGAACUGGAUUAUAAUUUACAGUGCUUCAAUUUAUGAUAUGGAUUCACAAUGGGAAAGUUACAAUAAGUCCACUGGUGUGUCCCUCUGACUUUGAAAAUAACCUUUUUUGGUAUUUUAUCCCAGUUAUAUAUAUAAAAAAAAAGAAGAUGUGGUAUGAUUGUCAAUGAGACAACUCUCCACAAGAGACCAAAAUAACACAGAAAUGAACAACUAUAGGUCAAUGUACAGCUUUCAACAAUUAGCAAAGCCCAUACUGCAUAGUCGGCUAUAAAAGGCUCAGAAAUGACAAUGUAAAACAAUUUAUGCUUAUACUAUUGUUCUUUUAAUUCACUACAAACAGCAAAUCAUUUAAAUAAACAUCACAUUGAGGCAAAACAAAUAAGACUUUAAGAAAAAAAUAUUAUAUUACAUCAGAUUUUUAUUAUAACAGUUUUAUUAUUUAGACAGCAACAAUACAUUGUACAAUGACAACAGAAAGGAGACCCAAUGAUGUGGCAUUCUUAUCGGUAAGUACAGUACAAGAACUGUGAUGGAAAAUCUUACCUUUCAUAGUUGUUAACAGUUUGCAUUUGAUUCAAAAUAUUUUUCAAGAAAGAGCUAUAGAAAAAUUGCUUUUUUAUUUUGUCCUGUACAAAAGCAUCAUAAAGGGAUUGGGCUGCAUGAGGUGCACAAACUUCCAUCAAACACUCUUGAGACCCUAGACAAGUAAAAUUGAGAAUGGAAAUGGGGGAUAUGUCAAAGAGGCAACAACCCCACCAAAGAUCAGAAAACAAGUACUUAAGGCCACCAAAGGGUCUCAUGUGGACCAAGCAAUAUAUAUUUAUCAUAUUUUAAAGUAUAAAAAAUAUUUUAGUAGCAAUGAAGAAAAUAUAUAUAUUUUAUCUACUGUCAGGACACAAUUUUGGUAUAUGGAUGUGAAGGUGGAACAGUUAAUUUCCAUGAUAUAAAUAAUAACCAACAACUCCAUCAAAUAGACACAGAAACUAACAGGUGAGCUAUACUGAAUCCAUUUUGUUAGUGUCAUCAUUAGAAGCUUCAGUUUUGUCAAAAGUAUACUUUUUUUGCCUAAACAUACUCUCUUAAAAUUCCAAAAUAUGUCAUUACAGCCAAUUCCAUCGAGUGUGUAGGUAAAGGAUAUAUCUUUGGUUAGGUUGCUUGCUAGCUGAACCAUGAAGUCAUUAUAAGGUAAUGUAUACUACCCUUCUUUCAAAGUUGCAUAGUCCUACAGACAGAUAGAUUGGUUAUCUGCCAGACUAGUCUAUUCUUAAAGGAGGGUAGAUUACAUAACCUAAUAAUGACUUCCCGGUUCAGCUAGCAAGCAAGCUAACCAUAGAUGUUAUACAUUUAUUUCCCUUGAUUGAGGGAAAUAAAUGUUUUAUUCCACUAUCUAUAUUUAAUUUGUCUUCCUGAAAUGGAAUAUGAAAACAAUGAAAAUAGUACAGCAAUAAAAGAUAACUGCAACUUUUUAUUUCAGCAAUAACAACAAAACAAAAUAAAAAGUUAUAACAAAUACAUGUAUAUGAUUGCCAUUUUAUAAGUAUGUGAAUAUUUUCGUAUAGUGGAAUAAUACCUUUUAUACCUACACACUCAAUGCAAUUGGCUGUAAGUGUGAAUUAUUUUUAUGUGUUUUCAGAAUAAGAGGAAUAACAUUGUUUACAGAUGAUGAAUUAUGUCAGUGUUUAAUAACAGCAUCCAGUGAUGGUUAUCUCAAACUGUAUCAAGUACAACAGAAUGAAGUAAGUUUGGUUUAUUAUAAGUGCUGUCAGUUAGUACGUUUGUUUUUUUAAAAUUUAUUGAGCAG
rnacentral:lncRNA from 1 species